rnacentral:tRNA from 1 species
CGGGGCGUGGCGCAGCCUGGUUAGCGCGCUUGUCUGGGAGACAAGAGGUCGUGGGUUCAAAUCCCGCCGCCCCGACCA